CGUAAAUUACAUAGAGGCAUAUAGGUUGUUGCCUCCAAUUGCCGACUUACAAAAAACAGAAAAUAAAAAAACAGAAUUGGUUAAAACCAUGCAUUAUUUUAAUAGCAAUGGUUGUUAGUUUAACCUACAAGGUGAUUAAUCAUAAUGGCAGGGUGUUUUCGAUAUUUAGAGCUAAUAAAUAUCUCCAAAAGGUACCCAACACCUUUGCAAACAUAAAAUCUAAGCCAAUGCUUUACGGAUUUUACUUGCUACCACGGUAUUUUUGUAACUGAACGGAAGACU
rnacentral:lncRNA from 1 species